AAAAGAAACUAACCAGGAUUCCCCUAGUAACGGCGAGUGAAGCGGGAAGAGCUCAAAUUUGAAAUCUGGCGCUUUCAGCGUCCGAGUUGUAAUCUCGAGAAGUGUUUUCCGCGCCGGACCGCAUACAAGUCUGUUGGAAUACAGCGUCAUAGUGGUGAGAACCCCGUAACUGAUGCGGAUGCCCGGUGCUUUGUGAUACACUUUCGAAGAGUCGAGUUGUUUGGGAAUGCAGCUCAAAGUGGGUGGUAAAUUCCAUCUAAAGCUAAAUAUUGGCGAGAGACCGAUAGCGAACAAGUACCGUGAGGGAAAGAUGAAAAGCACUUUGGAAAGAGAGUUAACAGUACGUGAAAUUGUUGGAAGGGAAACGCUUCAACUCAGACUUGCUACGCGGAGUUCAGCCUUCUGGUGUACUCUCCGCUUCGCAGGCCAGCAUCAGUUUUCGGGGGUGGAAAAUCGUACCUUGAACGUAGCAGCCUCGGCUGUGUUAUAGCUCGGUACUGGAUCCAUCCUUGGGGACUGAGGAACGCAGUGUGCUUUUAGCAUUCUCUUCGGAGAAAC
rnacentral:rRNA from 1 species